GCCAGACUCCUACGGGAGGCAGCAGUGGGGAAUAUUGGGCAAUGGGCGCAAGCCUGACCCAGCAACGCCGCGUGAAGGAAGAAGGCUUUCGGGUUGUAAACUUCUUUUAUGAGGGACGAGAGAAAUGACGGUACCUCAUGAAUAAGCCACGGCUAACUACGUGCCAGCAGCCGCGGUAAUACGUAGGUGGCAAGCGUUAUCCGGAUUUACUGGGUGUAAAGGGCGUGUAGGCGGGACUGCAAGUCAGAUGUGAAAAUUAUGGGCUCAACCCAUAACCUGCAUUUGAAACUGUAGUUCUUGAGUGAUGGAGAGGCAGGCGGAAUUCCGUGUGUAGCGGUGAAAUGCGUAGAUAUUAGGAGGAACACCAGUGGCGAAGGCGGCUUGCUGGACAGAGACUGACGUUGAGGCUCGAAAGCGUGGGGAGCAAACAGGAUUAGAUACCCCUGUAC
rnacentral:rRNA from 1 species